rnacentral:rRNA from 1 species
CCUACGGGGGGCUGCAGUAGGGAAUCUUCCACAAUGGGCGAAAGCCUGAUGGAGCAACGCCGCGUGUGUGAUGAAGGCUUUCGGGUCGUAAAGCACUGUUGUAUGGGAAGAACAGCUAGAAUAGGGAAUGAUUUUAGUUUGACGGUACCAUACCAGAAAGGGACGGCUAAAUACGUGCCAGCAGCCGCGGUAAUACGUAUGUCCCGAGCGUUAUCCGGAUUUAUUGGGCGUAAAGCGAGCGCAGACGGUUGAUUAAGUCU